CUUAGAUUCACCCCCCCCUCCCAGGGGAGCCCGACGUCCUGGGACGGACCACUACCCCCUCCCGGAGGGUGGUAUCGGAGGAGGCUGCAGCCUGCGGGGGGGCCCCGGGGAGAGGCGGAGGGCGGGGAGGAGAGGUGUUUACUCUGCUUUGGCGCAGGCGCAGAAACAGGGCCCCGCGUUCUUAAAGAGGCAGGCAGGCGCUGACCUACUUCGCUGGUGGUUCAUGCUGUCGUUUGGCUCCUCACCUCUGCCGAACCUAGGCUGAGUUCUACAGGAACGCAGUUCCACCGAGCUCAGCUACCUCUACUCCUUGAAUCAUUUUGCCAUCCGCCCCACGCCCCGUUAAUCAGAUUUUAAGACGCAUUUUUUCGUUCAGCCGACCCUUCUUGACCUUGCCUCAUCGGGGACCCGGGCGCCCUUAUGCGCUCACUGCACGGUCGGCAGAAAUACGCAGGCACUGAAGCCGAGCGUGGUGGCUCACGCCUGUAAUCCCAGCACUCGGGAGGCUGAGGCAGGAGGAUCGUUGCGAGUUCGAGACCAGCCUAGGCUACAAAGUGAGCUCAAGGCCAGCCUGAACUGCACAGCGAGAUCCUGUCUCAAAAAGACAAAAAAAAAAAAAAAAAAAACGCAGGCACAGCAAAUUAGAAGCAUGUUUCAUUGCGGCCCUAGGCAGAUGUGAUAAGCCGCACUACAGCAAGAAUGUCCACUGAGCUACGUCCCUAACCCUUUUAUAUUUUUUUAAUUUAAAAUGGGGUUGGUCAGUUGACCAGGCUGGUCCCAAAUUUGCGAUCCUCCUGUCUCGGCCGGCCUCCCAGAGUACACCCAGAAUGUGCCUUAACCACACCUGUCUACACGCAGAAUUCUUGCAUGGUGUACUCAAGAGUCUCGGGAACUAAGAGGAAAUAAAUAACUCCCGGUCAUUGCUUCACUUUUAAGCACUACUCCUCGAUCGACUUUGGGCUUGCAUGGAGAAUUAACUUCCCAUUCCAAGGAUGAAGCCCUGGAGAUCAUUCUGCCUUGGAUCCUGAGAGGAGCUUGGAGUGACAAAGCGGCUUGAGAAGCAAAGGCCCCAAUCCAAUCUACUCCUCACUCCCUGGCCAGGGAGCUAAGCUGUAAAUGUCCUAUUCACUGUGUACUCACCCUUCCCUCCAAAACCCACUCACUCCCAGUCCUGGACACAGAGCUGGUGUCUCCUCAGGAAACUAUGGAACAGCCAUGUGCUGGACCAGACCUAAAAAGGCUCAGCUGCACCCUUUCUCCAGCCUCUGCUGGCAGAACUGUUAUUACCCCAUCAUGACAGGCAUCAAAGCUGUCAACGACGGGGUAGGCAAAUCUCUAAGGCUGGAGCCUCUGUUAAACCCAGUCUUGCUGGGCAUGGGGGCACAUACCUGUAAUCCUAGCACACAGAAGGCUGAGGGAGCACCUGAGUUCAAGGCCAGCCUAGGUGACGUAAUGAGACCCAGUCUUCCUGUACUACACUCUAAACACUCCAUGUCCCACACACCACUCCUGUAGAAAGCUUGCCACAGGAGACCCAGUUUAGGGAUGCUGAGCACUGCAGCUGUGGAGCCGGUGCCCAGGUCGUACGGCUGUGGCUAAGUCCUGUCUGCAGUUUUGCACAGCCACCACUGGGGGUCAGGCAUCCAUGCCACUCCUCCUGUCUUCCCACUGGCCCAGAGGCCAGGGUAGGGGGAGGGUGGAGGUGGAGGUCCUGGAGGUGAGAGGAGAAAGGCCACUUGGGCUUGUUCCCACCCCCAAGGGAGAGGAGUUAAUUCAGGGUUUGCUCUGGUUUCUCAUACCUUAGAGGUUACCAACUGACAGGUGAAAUCUGCAAAUAUCUCCUGCCUGUUCAAAUUCCAUCCCUGGGCAUCCAGUAGCCUUUUCUCAUUAAAGACCCCUUUGCUUCA